CAACCAUCAAGCCCCAGGCUUGUGUUGGAGCCCUGCGGCUGCCGCAGCCUCCCAAAAUCAGUGGCGGGCUCGCUAUUACACCGAGUGCAGUAGUUUACUCUUCGCUCAGGAUGUGUGGCGGGUGCUAGCCGUGAAACCCCCUACUUCUCAAGG
rnacentral:misc_RNA from 1 species